UCUCCGUUGGUGAACCAGCGGAGGGAUCAUUACCGAAGUUACCCUUCAAAACCCAUUGUGAACCAUACCUCUUGCCGCGUUGUCUCGGCGGGAGGCGCUGGGGCCUCGGCUCCGCGUCCCCGCCGGCAGAGCCAAACUCUAAACUGCAAAGCGUACUGCAUGUUCUCAUUUACAAAAAAAACAAGUUAAAACUUUCAACAACGGAUCUCUUGGUUCUG
rnacentral:misc_RNA from 1 species